rnacentral:rRNA from 1 species
CGCGUUAGCUACGUUACUAAGGAAAUGAAUCCCCAACAACUAGUUGACAUCGUUUAGGGCGUGGACUACCAGGGUAUCUAAUCCUGUUUGCUCCCCACGCUUUCGUGCAUGAGCGUCAGUGUUAUCCCAGGGGGCUGCCUUCGCCAUCGGUAUUCCUCCACAUCUCUACGCAUUUCACUGCUACACGUGGAAUUCUACCCCCCUCUGACACACUCUAGCCGUGCAGUCACCAAUGCAAUUCCCAAGUUAAGCUCGGGGAUUUCACAUCGGUCUUGCACAACCGCCUGCGCACGCUUUACGCCCAGUAAUUCCGAUUAACGCUUGGACCCUACGUAUUACCGCGGCUGCUGGCACGUAGUUAGCCGGUCCUUAUUCUUCCGGUACCGUCAUCGACCCCAGGUAUUAACCAGAGCCAUUUCUUUCCGGACAAAAGUGCUUUACAACCCGAAGGCCUUCUUCACACACGCGGCAUUGCUGGAUCAGGCUUUCGCCCAUUGUCCAAAAUUCCCCACUGCUGCCUCCC